rnacentral:rRNA from 1 species
GCUAGUAAUGGCAGGUCAGCAUACUGCCGUGAAUACGUUCCCGGGCCUUGUACGCACCGCCCGUCACACCAUGAGAGUUGGGAAUACCCGAAGCCUGUGAGCUAACGUUAAGAGGCAGCAGUCGAAGGUAGAAUCAAUGAUUGGGGUGAAGUCGUAACAAGGUAAC